rnacentral:tRNA from 1 species
GCUGUCCAGCCCGGCCCGCGAGGCGCGACGGCUGCCGACCAUCGCCAGUUGCGGACGCUCGAGCAACGUGGGGUCGCCGCGCACGAACAGCA